rnacentral:rRNA from 1 species
CCCAACUGCCAUACCACCCUGCAUCUCACAACUGGCAGCCCACUGAAGCUCAGCAGGCGUGAGCCUGGUCAGUACCUGGAUGGGAGACCUCCUGGGAAAAACUAAGGUUGCUGCUGGGA